UGGCCGACAGCACUUCACUCCUGUCCGAGGGCUCAUGACUGAGCACUGUAGCAUCGACAGGACAAUGGCCCUGGGCUGCUGGCAGGUUGCAGGCAGGGCUUUACCUUCCUGUUGAUUUCUGACAACAUAAGUCACUCUCAAUAGCUGAUUUAACUUGGGAUCAUAUGGCCCAAAAAGAGCCUACCAAUAGCCACGCCUGUGCUGUUGCUGUGGUGAUCUACAACUGUGACAGCUUUGAGAGUGAUGGAUGGAGCAAAUGGAAAAUCAUGAGAAAUCAGAGGGCAGAGGCUGCAGCAGGGCAUCUGAGCCAUGUUCUUCAGCUGGCAAGAAGAAGAGAGUGAAGAGGACAUGCAGGAGCUUGACAGAAGCAGACUAAAAUGGAAGGGGAAAAUGAAACACAGAAGAAAGCUAGCAGAGAUGCUGGUUUUAGGGUUACACAGGGAGUAGGGAUUUAGUAGACAAUUUGUUCUAUUACAGACUUCACAAACAACUUUAGGCAACUCAUUACAUCAGUUUGAACACCAAUUUCUCUUCUGUGAAAAGUUUCUGUGAGAGGAACUGUCACAAAAUAUCCUGGGGAUUAUAAAUACAAAAUGGCAACCACCUUGUAAGUGGAAAAAACCAGUCUGAACAACAUCCAGAUAAAAAAGAAAGCUUUCAACAGUCUCAGAAAAGUCAGAGUUCAUGGAAGAAAGCAAACAGAAAGAGACAGGAAAGGAGUUGAAUAUGUUUCUGCUUGUCUCAUGAUGAAUCUGUACACAGUGUAUGCAAUUGCUAUACUUUUAGGAAGCUCUUUUGGCUCAUCUGUUGGCAUCAGCAUUGCAGGGCUGUAUUCCCAAUUUGUAAAUGUGGUGUUAUCUCACAUCCCUCAGUACCAGGGAAGGAUAAGGGCUUUCUGCUGAAAUAGUAUUUUCAUUUCCCUGCUGUCAUUCUCUUCCCACUAUGUGUUUUCCAGUGAAUCAUUGUUUUGAACCUUGAGUUGUACUGGUGUGGCUGAAAGCAUAGACUUUAAUUUAGAUAAAGUGGAGACCUCUUGGAUAUGGAUGCUGUCAAAAACUGAUUCGUGAUUAGGCAAAUAGGGCCCUGGAAACCUUUCAGUCACUGCAUGCUAUCACAGGAAGCCACAGAACGAAAUGUCUUUCAUUUGAGUGAAAUCUUUUUAAAGCAUCUGGCCUCUUUCCUUGCCUCUCCCAUUAGAGACUGUUCCUGAACCUAAUUGCUCAGAUGGCUAGAAGCUUUCUUUUAAUUUCAAGGGUAAAUUCCUUUAUGGUCAUUUUAUAGCCUGUUGUCCUUGGGAUGUCCUUUAGCUUUAAUAACUUCCUCUUCUGAUUUUUACACUCAGAUACAUUUAUAGAGAGGAAAUCCAGGCUCUCUCAUCCUUCAUUUUGCUGAUUCUAAAAGCCAGUCACUCUUAGUUUCUCCACAUAGGCUUGGAAUCUCCCUGGUCCUGCUAUCAUGUGCUCGCUCUUCACCUGUUCCCAUUGGAUCUCAUAUUUUUGGGAAGUAGGCAACAAGGAUUGCAUGCCAUUUUUCAGAUGAGAUUUCUCCUGAGUCCUACAUACCACUAUUGACUUUUCCUCCUCUGUCUGGAUAUGUUGCAGGAUACUAUUUGUCUUUACAACAUGUUGGGGCUCACAGUCACUCUGUGAUGACAGUGUAAUGUAUUAGUAAGUGCAAGCUUUUGUCCUUCUCUGGCACUUCCAGCUCUUGAGCCACAACAGUGUUGCUGUUACAGAUUCUGAUACAUUUCUGCAUAUUAAAGCUAAGGUACUAAGAAAGUUAGCUACUGAAUUCCAUUCUUCCAAACCGAUACUUUCCCUUUCUGUACAAACUGCAUUUGUCUCCCCAUCAGCCAGCUCUUUACCUACCUUCUAACUUUUCCAUAACUUCUAUUUUAGCUAUUAAUUACAAAUAUGUCACUGUGUCAACUACUUUAUUGUAGUCUGGACAGAUAAGAUGUCUAUCAUUCCCCCGAUCCAAAAUAGUUGUCUUAUUAAAGAGAAAUAUCGAGUUAUUCUGGCAUGCUCUGCCUUUGACAAACUACUAUUGCUUUGUACAUCACUGUUCAUUUGCCUAUGUGUUUUUUUAUUAUUCCCUCCUACAGAUUGGCUUUAAAGCUGUAGGCACUGUGGUGGUCAGGAGAAUGGGUCUGCAUUUCCCUAGAUUACACCCUUUUCCUUUUCUUAGAGAUAACAGAAGUACUGCAUCUGUUAUUUUGCAGUCAGACAGUGCCACCACCAACUUGACAGAUUAAUUAAAAAUCCGCCCUGUAAGAUUUGCCAUCUCAUACGCCAGCUAUCUCAAUAUUCUGAGAUAUUCUGGUCCCUGUGACUGGAGCUGAUCAAAAUGCUUACGCUCCUGUUUCAUCCUGCAUGCAGUCACUUCCUUUUCUACAAACACAGUGCUUGCCCUGUAUUCUCCUUUGUCGGAAUUACUGAAAAUUGGGAGUGUUAACUCAUUUAAUUCAUGUUGUAUGUGGGUCACACCUAUGAUCCCCUUGUUACUUUCCCCAAGCAUGAACAUGUCCCUUCCACAUCAUGUCACAAAGGAAUCAUCUGUUGUUUCUUCUACUUGCCUUCACAAGGUGUAUCUCAGGUUGGCCUUUAAUCAUUCUUAAUUAAUCUUUACAGCUUUAGACCUCUUGCCCCCCCACAUACAGCAAACUGUUGCUUACUUCUUGUGCAACCUGUGCUUUCUGGGCUAUAGCACUCUAAAGGACAUUGACAAAAUCAGUUUGGAACCAAUGUAAAAGAGAUGUCACAGCGGCUUUCCUAGGUUUAAUAUUAGCCACAUUCUAAACUAUUAAAAAUGAAACUUGUUAGACAAGUGUGUGAAGAUACACCCUAAAUCCUUCACUGAGAUUUAAAUGAAAGAGUCUCAUGCCCAUGACCGAGUUGCUUUGGGUCAGGGAGAAAGAAGCAUUUUUCUCUCCUCGCCUGUUCUACACGUUCACUUAUUUUCUAGAUUGUCUCUUUUGUAUUUUUAGAAGUGGAUGUUGCUAAGGCAACCAAACUAGCUGAACAUUUUGUUUCCCCAAGAACAAUACAUGUUUAAAUAUUCAGGCAAUUUUCCAUUGUUCAGCAGGAAUGGUGAGAUCAGUCAGAUUAUUCAGACCAGAGGAGGAAAGUUUAGGUUGGCCUUCCACUAUAUAUAAAAGACUUCAGUGUGCUGACAGCCAUUCAACAGUUUGGUUCAAGGAGGAACAAUACAUGACAGACACAUAGACCACCCUCCCUAUAUACGAGAAAUGUUUUGUUUUAUUCCCCUCUGGCUCGCCCCCCACAAUAAAUUAAAGUAUGUAUUUCCAGGUAGAUGAGUUACACUCACCUCUGUGUUGAUGCUGACACAGGGCCUGCUCUUGCUCUGAAAGCAAAGCAUCAGGUGACAAUAGUGUCAUACAGGUCAGAAGGGGCAAAGAAAACAUCUAUCCACUUUAUCACAUCCUUCCCUCUUGCCUAAUCUGUGGCUUUCAGGCUCAUUUCAAACACCUGGAAAAGAUCUGGAAUAUUCUUAUGUAGCCAGCUUCUUGUUGUUACCCCCAAAACUGGGCUGGUGAUGGAAUGACUCCACCUACCUCUCCAAAGCUCACCAGCCUGGCUUCCUGGCUGACUUUGUUCCGGAGCAGAUUACAGAGGGGCUGGCACAGCCCAUUCCAUUGGCUGAUCUGUGAUGGCAGGAACUGCCACCCCAUAAGUGGCAUGGAGCAGAGUGUAGUGUUAAUACUCUGCAAGGGAGCCAGAGCCAUGCAUGACACUGAGAUACCUUGAAGUGUGCUUCUGAUUUUGACAUGAAUAUUUUCUGCGUUGAUCACCAAGUGUGCUUAGUUUCACUUUUCCCCAUUGGCAUUGUGAAAUGGCUGAAACUAUAAAAACCUGAAGAAAACAUGAUUAUGGCUUAAAAAUGUUUCUCAAAGAAGUGCCAAAUACUAUUAUAAUGCUGAAAACAGCAGGAGAGGAAAAGGGCAGGAAAGAAAUAAAGGAGAUUAAAAGUGUGGAAGUGGUCAGCAUGUAAAACUGCAAAGGCAUAGAGGCACAAAACCCAUAGCACAGUCAAGAAAGAGGAUGAUCCAGAAGCAGGGAGUAGUCUGAUACUAGAGGAUGGAGGGUGCAGAGGAGAGUCACAGCGGGAAGUUAAAUGAGGAAUACAGGUCUGAAGCUGUCAGUGACAGCAGAGAUGCUGUGCAGCAGAGCAGGCACUCCUCCACUGAGUGACACACAGCACACGCCUGACUGACUAGUGUUACUAUGAGAUGGAGCUACUUAUCCUUUCCAAUAUCUAGCUCCAGAAAUGUGCAACUCCCUCUUCCUUCUAAAUAUCUUUUCAGGAGACGUGAGCAAUAGACCAGUAACACUGAUUACAAGUCAUCUGUCUGAAAAGAGAACUUUAGAAACCUUUUUGGUUUCCAUAAUUUGGUAGUUUCUGUGUGUAUAUUUGGGCUCUUCUCUGUCUUCCUCUUUUUAAAAGUGAAGCACAUCACCUAGAGCAUUCAAAUACUUUGGCCUAAAAGCUAAUCAGUGCAAAGAGGGUUAUGCCGUUCAAAGAAGAAUGAGAAAGUCUCCUAGUUUAUCUUGGCCGGACCCAAGCAUACCAAACAGCAAGUAAGUGUCCUAGGAUUGUCAAAGAUACUGGGUUGAAAUGGCAGUCAGCAUGGAGCAUUAGUUUUCAGGAAACUAGCUGGUUCCUAGGAGGAUGGACAGCUAGGCAAAGUCUGAAUAACUAGAAAAGGCAAUGAGUCAUGGGUUAGCCUGACAUAGCCAUGGGAACCAUAAAAGGGCUAUAUGAGUCACAAAACUCAUAGCCCCAACACAAGCUAAUCUGUUUGGCUCUUUUCCACCCCACCAUUUUUCCUGAAAGAUAAGAAGAACUGGCAGAUUAGAUGUGGUCCAGGGUGGUUACACAUCACAUCAUGGGUAACUAAACUGCUGCUAAAAGCAUUGUUUGGGAUGAUUUCCACUGUGUCUCUCCUUCUCAGCCCUCACUCUCUGUGCAGACUGGACUGCCUAUCUGACCAGUCUCCUCAAGCUCAGGGCCUGGCCAAGCUAGAGGACUAGGAGGAAGGUCAAAGUCCAAAAUGGGGCUCAUGGGGAGAAAGCGCUUUAGUCAGAGACAAGGGUCUUGCAGAUGCUUAGACUGAAACAAAUAAAAAGAUGAAACUGGGCAGAAAAGAGUUGCUCUGAGGUCUAGGAAGGAGGCAAAUUGGUGCACCUCAGUUCACAGUUAGAGAGAUUGGGGAGAGUUGUGAUCCAUCACACUCCAAAACAUCUGACUGAAAGCAAAGGUCAACUUUUGCCUAUGACCUAUUGAAACUUUGGUACAACCAGGGCAUGGAGCACCUGAGCUUAAUGCUCUCCUGAGGAAGCUACUGUAGGGAGCAAAGGAUGGGGAGAAAAGAAGUGGAAAUUGCAGAUUGAAGUGGAUUGGGAGGGGAUACAAAAGGGACAAGGAGCAGAGGAGAAAUACAAGGUGUGCUGGCUCUCAGUGCAGCCUAUUUGUGGAGCAUCAGCAAUCAACAAAGCCUUUAUUUCAUUCCUACUGACUCUUUACAUGACAGUGUCUCUGCUCCUGCCAGGUGUUACCUAUAAAUAAUUCUGUCACCCAACUACAUCAUGUGCCCAAAACGGGAAGACUGAGCUGAACAGGACUAAAACCCAGAAAGGAUUAUUUUAAUUUAAGAAAGAGUGCCUACUGUGUGAAGAAUCAACUACUUGCUGACCACAGACACCCUGAGGAGAAAGACAGGGGAAGGUCCCCCAGCAGUACUGUUGGAUCAGAGCCAACACAGUGAUGCACUCACAGUGCUAGCUGUGACAGAUGUCUGCAGCGAGUCUCCCUGGGGCAAAAGGAAGAAGCCCAGGGAUGUUGCUGCCCAGUUUACUGCACAUUUCACAGAACCUGGCCUAAGCCAGGAUUAGUUUCAAGACUGGGCAUUGCCAGCGAUAUUACUCAUAUCACUUUGAGAAAAUCACUUGCCCUCCAUCUGUCUCAGUUUCUUCUCCUGUGAAACAGAGCCUGACUGUGGCUUUGCAAUGCAUGACUGCUUUUUUGGCCCUGGCUUCUCUGCCUGCUCUACAGCUGCUGACAGGCAGCCUGCAGGUGGGUCUGCUUUCAAGUCUGUAGCCUUCAGGGAGAUAGCUUUUGCUAUGGGAGACCAUGGCUCUAUGAAUCUACAAACAGAGAAGUCACUGCUACUGUGAUUAUUACAGACAGCAGCAGUGGCUGAUACAACUUCUCAGAAAAGGUAAUUAUGGCUCAGAGAAGGCAGAUGGUGCAGACAUAGAAGACAUGCAUGCCUACCUUUUAAAAAUCUUGUUUGUAUUCAUAAAUGUGAACUCACUGCAAGGUGAUUUAUCCCUACCUUUCAGUUAGCCAGGAAAAAUAGCCUCUCUGAUACAGAAAUACUUGGAUAGUUCUCUUGUGACCAUUCCCCAGUGCAGCUGCCUCAUGACAAGGCUCUGUGGCCUCUGCACAUGGCUGUUAAUGCUGCUCCACCUAACCUGAGAGAACCCCCUCUAUUAUGCACAGCAGAAAGGACACCUUUCAUAAAGGAGCAACCAGAAACUGCAUUGAGGACAGACAAUGUUCUGUACUGAAGAGUGAGCCUCCCAGAUGAUUUUUAUUAUCAGUUUUCUGAGGGCAGCAGCUUUAUAUUUAGGUGAUAUAAGAAACACAAGCCACGGGCUUAGCGGGUUUUAUGGAUGAGAUUACUUCUGUCUCUUUUUUUGCACACCCACUCUUCCAACUACUGUUCUUUUUAAGACUUUGGGGAACAUUAGGUAGGGGACCAGGAGAAGAGGGGAUGAAACAGACAAGCUGAAGGCAGAUGCUCAUGUUAGUCUCCUGAAGCAGCUAAUCAGAUUUUCUUUCUAUACAGUGACUUGGAUUUUGCAAUGCAAAAGGAAGAAGUUUAAAAUAAAGCUGUGACCUUCUUGUUCCCACCAACAGAGCAAGCUAUCUGCAAAUCUCAUUUUAAAAAAUACUGCAAACUCCAACAUGAAUGAAAAGGUUUUUAAGAGGGAGCAAAAGGGAGGUUUGGAUUUUACUCCAAAUUUCACUAGUUCCUCACUACAAGGACACUACAGUGAUUUUGGUGCCAUGAGUAAGAGGCGUUACAUAACUAUGCAAAAUGCCAGAGAUGUGGGGGCAAGAAUCCUGUCGGGGCUCAGGUAUUAGACUGUGACUCUGAAAAUAUUGCCAUCAUUUCCAUAGCGAAUCCACUGAGUCACAGAAAUGUUAGGGAUUAUUCACACUGUGGGAGGAGCCAAGGGAACACAGAUUUGGAAGGAGAACUUUUGCACGAGCCAGUGUCUGCUUAAGGCAAGCAAAGAGCACUUUCUGGUCUACCUGCAAAUAGCCUAUUUCAAUUAUUGCACAAACAAAUGCUUAUACACCCUCCCACACCCAGCACAUCUUAGGUUCCUGCGUACAAGGAUUCCUUUGGUAUUAUCCCAUAUUCAACCAACUUGGCUCUCAUAGAGCUUUUGUAUACUAAACAGUUGCAAAGAAUUGGCAGCAUAUCUAUCCUUACAUUGGCCAACCAGACUGGAACUCCUUAACAGCAGGCCCAGAGCUGAGGACACAGAAAGAUGAGAGAGGAGGAUCUCCAUACGUGAGGGGAUCUCCACACAGGCUUGAACAAGCAGCCUUUUGCUUUGAUUUCAGAGUGAUAAUAAUCUUCUCUACCAAAUGACAGCUUAGGGCUCAGCUGCUGCGACACUGUUUUUGGAAUCAAAUUACUAGAAAGGUCAAAAUCAUUAACAUGUGCUUUAGGAAGAGGGAAAAUACCAGGCAAAACCUGUAAGCUUCCACAGCUGAAAGAUGCCCCCUGGACUAGCAGAUGCUAUUAUUUGCUUCCUUUCCCUGUAGGCAGAAAGGUGUCUUCUCACCAAGGGAACAGAGAAGGAGGUCAUUCUGCUUGGAGGUCUUUCAAAAAUGUGCAUAGCAGGAGGAGAUUCUUGUGAUUUUUUAUAAUUUAAAAGGCACGAAACAGUGUUAGAGGGAGUGAAUGAAUAGAUUACAUUCCUCUUACCUGACAUGCCCCUAACCUGUACACUCUCUGUAGGGCCCCCUUGGCACUGUUGGGUACAGUUGUCCCACUGUUAAAAAUGUAUUAACUUAUUCUUGCUCCCAUAUUCAUUAGGAGAAAAUUAAUAUGGAGUUGGUGCUACACACAAGGGACAAGACCUAAGAAGAGAAUUUUGCUAAUGCUUCCAUUACAUGUGUUGGGGCAUAAGCAUAAUAAUGAUUUAAUGAUUACAUUACAGUUCUCCUUCCACAGGAGAAAAAAAAAAAAAAGACAAAGGCUUCCACAGUGUUUGAGCUACAGCUUUGUCUUUCUUGUUUACCAGACACCUCUGUGAGGCCACCUGAAUACAUCAACUGUCUCAGCAUUUCAUUAGUCAUCAAGGCAGGUCAGGGCAAGGUGUUUUCCUUUUGAAAGCAUUCAAAGAAAAGUUAAAACCUCUGUCUAGAAAUAGUGUAGAGUUGAUAAAGGAGCCUUACUUUGGAUGCAUCAUGCAUAUUUUGCCUCUUUGAGCUGGGCCUCACUAAGUAAAAGCCAACCUUAUGUUCUCCAGUAUAUGGCUAAGACAACGUUGAACACAAGACUGGGAGACUGCCUUAAACUUUUAAAGUUCAUUAAGACAAACAGUGUACAUAAAGGCUUCUCUCCCACUGAUGCAUUCAAGCAUCUCAUCCCAUGAAAGUAAGAUGUCUCUACAUUUCAUACCCCAGCGGUGCUUUCAUAUUUGUCAUUUGCACCCCGGAUGGAUACAGGAUUCACUUUGAUAUGGCAGUGCCAAUGUCUCUAAAGUAAUCUGGCCCAUGAAAAAUCAUCUUUCUAAUCCUUGAGAAUGUCAUGUGUAUUAGCUGCAGCCUUUCUGGUAUGAAUCCUCUAGGGUGGAUUCAAUUUCACACAAGUCCUAGCAAGACAGACCAUCCUAGGCUAGGAAUUCAUAUCCUUCAUAGCCUCUGCUCUUCAGAGAGGCAAGCAACCACUGCUUUUCCAAUGGCACCCACCUUGAAACCCAUAUAUAAUUUUUGCUUCCUAGAGCAGGGAGGUUUGAUCUUGGAAUUUGGAGGUCAAAUGCUUCAAACUGUCUUCCCUAUAUCUCCCUUUCAUAUUUGUACAGCUUUAUGUAAAAUGCUGCAUGUUCACAUUCAGUCUUCAGCUGCAGCAUUUUUCCUUACCCAUUUCCCCUUGACCCACAAAAACCUGUCACCUGAGUUUAAUGAGCCAUCCAACUUGGCUCAGGUUCAGGUUGUUAGCCACUGUGUUCAAAACUGUUAAGUCUUCCAUUGCUUUCCUGCUCCUUCCCUUGGGAUGCGUAUUCCUGGUCAGAUACCUACUCAUGACCUCUACAUCCGAAAGGAUCCCUCGCUAGGAGAGUAUAUACCAGAUUUGAACCCACCUGCAAUGCAGUCUAAUGGGCAGGCACUAUUUCUAGUGCCUUGUCUCUAGUCUAGAGACAAGCAGAUCAUCUUCCAGUUCCCCGGGAGAAAAUGGAUCCCUGGGGCACUGUGGGGCUGAGGACCUGGGAGGUGCUUACAGAAGUCCUACAACCUCACUUGAGUGAGCACACCUUUCAAAGAACAUGCUCCAGUACAUCUUGGCACACGUAUUUGCUUGGCCUACCUCAAUCUGACUCAAGGUCGUGCAACAGCAAAGAUGUCCCUUUCAUGGGAUGUGCUCUUGUGAGUGUGCACCUUUGCUGUACGCUUUGCAUGAUCCCUGUUGCAGUUGCCACACUAUUAUCCUUACAUUCAUUACAGAUCAUUGUGGCACAGUCAUUUUUUUUUUUUUAUUACUGCUUUGCAUUGCACUGUGUUGGUUAAAGUGCUGCUACUGCAAUCAAGUAUUUUGGUUCACAGCGGAAUAAAUGUUUGAAGAGAUGAAUAUUUACCCUAAUUUACACUGUUAACCCCAUACACAAAAUGUAAAGGCUCUUGCUAGCACCUUCGUUGGAGAAAAUAUUUCAGAAACAGAAAAAAUUAGGGAAGAUGUUGCUCUGUGCUCAGGAAAGACAAUUCAGGAAGAUGGUCUGGAGGUCACAUUUAGUUUGUCUUCAAUAUGUGAGAAGGAGAGAGCCUUUUAAACUUUCAGAAGCUGGUACCUGCCUCAGUACAGUGCCUCCUUGACUCGACUCUCUCCAGCGGAGACCCCUCACUCUUUAGACCUGGACAGUUGUUUGGACCAGAGUGAAAUAGCUGCAGUCAUGACCUUGCUCUAGCCUUUUCCCAUUACCACAAAUGUCUUUGACAGUAGUACUUUUGCAGGCGUGAGGCAGUAGGAGGAUCAUGUCCAUCUGGUGAUGAAGUCAGGACUUGUCUUUGUACAGGAAUAUAAUAGAUGUAAUGAAAACACAAAUCCCCUGCUCUUCUUUUCUCUCUGGGGACUUCGGCAUCCAGCAUGUCCGUGCAAAUUUCCUCAAGGGAUGAAAAGGGCUCAAAAAUGAAAGAACUGGUUUCAGGCCAGCACUUGGUCCUUUGCUUGUUCAGGCAAACUCCUGAGAUGCCCUAUAUGUGAAAUGAAUUGCAGACCUCUGCCUCCCAGGGAAUUAGUUAAUAGCUUAAUGUUCUCACAGGAAAAAAAAAAAAAAAAAAGUCCAUGCAGGCAUUUUGGGUUGCCUCACUGCUAUUUCUUCCUUAAUGCAGUUUCAGCAUAGAUGGUUGUUAGGGAGAGGGAGUAGGAUCCCAUUUUGUAUGCAGAUUUCAGUGCUGAAUUAAAGGUCUUACAGUCUCAUGAUGCUAGAGCAACAGCAGCAGUAACUGGCCAUUCAUUUUGCAGUGAUCAUCAGACGACCUUGAGAUUUACCCAGCUGGGGCAGUAUGGUUUCUAUAAAUAUUACAUUUUCCAGGAUCGUGUUUUCAGCUGUACCAGAGACAAUCCUAGUGAAGAACUAACUCAGCUGGGCAUACCCUCCCUUCUUUCUCACCCUUUCCCUCUCCCCCCGCACCAGCCCUCCCUUACUCUGGGUUGUAAAAAAAGCCUCUGAGAUUUCUCUUUUAGCACUGACCUUCUGAGCUAUCUAAUGAUGAAGAUAGAAAGAGGCUGCAACCAGACAGUGAAAAAAGAAAACCCUUUUGCUAGCAGGGAAAUGUGUGAGUAAUAUACACACUGUUGGACAGUGGCCAAAUCACUCUAGUAACGGCUGUUAGUUCCCCUUACCAAGAAAAUGAUCAAAUGAGAAAGAGAAGCUGCAGUCGGGUGUCAGAAAUGCUGAGUCGCAACGGGAGAAUGCCGCAUCCGAUGGAAAUUUACCCAGGAGCCAGCGACCUUCACACGCUGGGGACGAAGACUGAGGGCUUGCAGGGAUAUCCUGCCCUCACUCACACGCCGCUGUACUUCCUCCAUGUCACCACCCAGCCACAGCAUACCCCGAAAAAGGAGGUCAGGAGAUGAGCUUCAAGACAGACUGGGCUGCCAGGACAGGCUCCAUGGCAUGAAACAAAGCACUGCUUAUAUAGUGUGCAAGGACGGCUGGCCCCACAGCACUGCCUCAUCUAUGGGGAUUACUUGCCUCAGGUGGAGAGAUGACAGGCUGUACAUUCUCUGUCCUUGGAGGUUUUCAAGACUGGAUAAAGCUGGAAGCAAUUUGGUCAGAUUUUCAGCCAACCCUGAUUUGAACGAGAGGUUGAUCCACAAACCUCCUGAGGUGCCUUCCAACUGGAACUAUGCUGUGCCCAUGGCAGCAUAAGGAAGAUGAGGUGUUGUUGCCGAUGGACAAUAGAACAGCAGCUUCUGGCCUUUAUUUCCUUCAGCCGGAGCAAAAUGUUUGAUGACUACUGAAGACAAACUCUUCCAUGCUUCACCAGAAAGAGUCAUUGGGUAUGGCUACAGAGACAGCUCAACCUCAUAGUGCAAGACUUAUCCACAUGCAUUUCUAGUUAGCUUAAACUAUGAACUCCUGAGCCAAUGAGUGCUGACAUUUUGAAUUGCACUGCAUGGACACAAAAUUUAGCCAGGCAUUUAAGUAAUGAGCAGAAAUUUCUCUUAAUCUUGUCAUAUUCCCUUGAAGGCAGUCACAAAAUACAAGUAUAAACUAUU